rnacentral:rRNA from 1 species
UAACACAUGCAUAUCGAACGGUAUCAUGUCCUGCUUGCAACAUCGCUGACGAGUGGCGGACGGGUGACGUAAUGCUUGGGAACUUGCCUUUGCGAGGGGGAUAACAGUUGGAAACGACUGCUAAUACCGCAUAACGUCUACGGACCAAACGGGGCUUAUGCUCCGGCGCAGAGAGAGGCCCAAGUGAGAUUAACUAGUUGGUGAAGUAAAGGCUCACCAAGGCGACGAUCUCCAACUGUUCUGAGAGGAAGAUCAACCACACUGGGACUGAGACACGGCCCAAACUCCUACGGGAGGCAGCAGUGGGGAAUAUUGCACAAUGGGGGAAACCCUGAUGCAACCAUGCCGCGUGUGUGAAGAAAGCCUUCGGGUUGUAAAGCACUUUCAGUUGUGAGGAAAAGUGAGUACUUAAUACCUGCUCACCGUGACGUUAGCAACAGAAGAAGCACCGGCUAACUCCGUGCCAACAACCGCCGUAAUACCGAAGGUGCGAACGUUAAUCCGAAUUACUGGGGCGUUAAACGCACGCAAGGCGUUUGUUAAGCCAGAUGUUAAAAGCCCGGGGCUCAAACUUGGAAGGUCACUUUGAAACUGGCAGAC